rnacentral:rRNA from 1 species
CGGCGGACGGGUGAGUAACACGUGGAUAACCUACCUAUAAGACUGGGAUAACUUCGGGAAACCGGAGNUAAUACCGGAUAAUAUAUUGAACCGCAUGGUUCAAUAGUGAAAGACGGUUUUGCUGUCACUUAUAGACGGAUCCGCGCCGCAUUAGCUAGUUGGUAAGGUAACGGCUUACCAAGGCAACGAUGCGUAGCCGACCUGAGAGGGUGAUCGGCCACACUGGAACUGAGACACGGUCCAGACUCCUACGGGAGGCAGCAGCA